rnacentral:rRNA from 1 species
UACGAGGGGGGCAAAUGUUGUUCGGAAUCACUGGGCGUAAAGGGAGCGUAGGCGGGUUUCUAAGUCAGGUGUUUAAUCCCGGGGCCCAACCCCGGACAGGCACUUGAAACUGGGAAUCUUGAAUAGUGGAGAGGUCAGUGGAAUUGGGGGUGUAGCGGUGGAAUGCGUAGAGAUCCCCAAGAACACCAGUGGCGAAGGCGGCUGACUGGACACAUAUUGACGCUGAGGCUCGAAAGCAUGGGGAGCAAACAGG